CAGCCAAGUAGCGUGAAGGAUGACUGCCCUAUGGGUAGUAAACUUCUUUUAUAAAGGAAUAAAGUCGGGUAUGCAUACCCGUUUGCAUGUACUUUAUGAAUAAGGAUCGGCUAACUCCGUGCCAGCAGCCGCGGUAAUACGGAGGAUCCGAGCGUUAUCCGGAUUUAUUGGGAUUAAAGGGAGCGUAGAUGGAUGUCUAAGUCAGUUGUGAAAGUUUGCGGCUCAACCGUAAAAUUGCAGUUGAUACUGGAUAUCUUGAGUGCAGUUGAGGCAGGCGGAAUUCGUGGUGUAGCGGUGAAAUGCUUAGAUAUCACGAAGAACUCCGAUUGCGAAGGCAGCCUGCUAAGCUGCAACUGACAUUGAGGCUCGAAAGUGUGGGUAUCAAACAGGACUUAGAUACCCUGGUAGUCCACACGGUAAACGAUGAAUACUCGCUGUUUGCGAUAUACAGCAAGCGGCCAAGCGAAAGCGUUAAGUAUUCCACCUGGGGAGUACGCCGGCAACGGUGAAACUCAAAGGAAUUGACGGGGGCCCGCACAAGCGGAGGAACAUGUGGUUUAAUUCGAUGAUACGCGAGGAACCUUACCCGGGCUUAAAUUGCAGAUGAAUUACGGUGAAAGCCGUAAGCCGCAAGGCAUCUGUGAAGGUGCUGCAUGGUUGUCGUCAGCUCGUGCCGUGAGGUGUCGGCUUAAGUGCCAUAACGAGCGCAACCCUUGUUGUCAGUUACUAACAGGUCAUGCUGAGGACUCUGACAAGACUGCCAUCGUAAGAUGUGAGGAAGGUGGGGAUGACGUCAAAUCAGCACGGCCCUUACGUCCGGGGCUACACACGUGUUACAAUGGGGGGUACAGAGGGCCGCUACCACGCGAGUGGAUGCCAAUCCCAAAAACCUCUCUCAGUUCGGACUGGAGUCUGCAACCCGACUCCACGAAGCUGGAUUCGCUAGUAAUCGCGCAUCAGCCACGGCGCGGUGAAUACGUUCCCGGGCCUUGCACU
rnacentral:rRNA from 1 species